AACGUGGGUAACCUGCCUUAUAGUGGGGGAUAGCCUUUCGAAAGGAAGAUUAAUACCGCAUAAGAUUGUAGUAUCGCAUGAUAUAGCAAUUAAAGGAGCAAUCCGCUAUAAGAUGGACCCGCGUCGCAUUAGCUAGUUGGUGAGGUAAUGGCUCACCAAGGCGACGAUGCGUAGCCGACCUGAGAGGGUGAUCGGCCACAUUGGGACUGAGACACGGCCCAGACUCCUACGGGAGGCAGCAUG
rnacentral:rRNA from 1 species